UGACCUCCUCGUCGUUGCCGCCUCCCUCAACCCCGCCACCUCCAACAAACUCCGGAUCGGAUCCAUCACCGGAUCUCCCUCAGGAUGGAGGAGGAGCGUUGCGGAUGCAGCUUGAUUAGAACGCAGCUGCAGAGAAGUGGAAAUCUCCUCCUCUACCAGAGGACCGCUUCGCCCUCAUGUGCGGGUCCUCACGCCGGAGAGCUCGUCAGCAGGGAGAGCGGCGCGUUCCUCCACAGGUUCAUGUGGCUCGACGAUGGCGACAUUGGCGAGGUCCCCUUCGUCUGGAACUUCCUCGUCGGCCACA